rnacentral:rRNA from 1 species
UACGGAGGGUGCAAGCGUUAUCCGGAUUCACUGGGUUUAAAGGGUGCGUAGGUGGGCAGGUAAGUCAGUGGUGAAAUCUCCGGGCUUAACCCGGAAACUGCCGUUGAUACUAUCUGUCUUGUAUGUAGUGGAGGUGAGCGGAAUAUGUCAUGUAGCGGUGAAAUGCUUAGAUAUGACAUAGAACACCCAUUGCGAAGGCAGCUCGCUACACUAUUAUUGACACUGAGGCACGAAAGCGUGGGGAUCAAACAGG